CCUACGGGAGGCAGCAGUGAGGAAUAUUGGUCAAUGGGCGGGAGCCUGAACCAGCCAAGUCGCGUGAGGGAAGACGGUCCUAUGGACUGUAAACUUCUUUUAUAUGGGAAUAAAGUGCAGUAUGUAUACUGCUUUGCAUGUACCUUAUGAAUAAGGAUCGGCUAACUCCGUGCCAGCAGCCGCGGUAAUACGGAGGAUCCGAGCGUUAUCCGGAUUUAUUGGGUUUAAAGGGAGCGUAGGCGGGUUGUUAAGUCAGUUGUGAAAGUUUGCGGCUCAACCGUAAAAUUGCAGUUGAUACUGGCAUC
rnacentral:rRNA from 1 species